GACGAACGCUGGCGGCGUGCUUAACACAUGCAAGUCGAACGAUGAAGCUGGAGCUUGCUCCGGUGGAUUAGUGGCGAACGGGUGAGUAACACGUGAGAAAUCUGCCCUUCACUCUGGGAUAACUGCGGGAAACUGUAGCUAAUACCGGAUACUUUCCCUGGUCGGCAUCCACUUGGGAAGAAAGAAUUUCGGUGAAGGAUGAUCUCGCGGCCUAUCCGCUAGUUGGUGAGGUAAUGGCUCACCAAGGCGAGGACGGGUAGCCGGCCUGAGAGGGUGACCGGCCACACUGGGACUGAGACACGGCCCAGACUCCUACGGGAGGCAGCAGUGGGGAAGAUUGAACAAUGGGCGAAAGCCUGAUGCAGCAACGCCGCGUGAGGGAUGAAGGCCUUCGGGUUGUAAACCUCUUUUAGCAGGGAAGAAGCGAAAGUGACGGUACCUGCAGAAAAAGCACCGGCUAACUACGUGCCAGCCGCCGCCGUAA
rnacentral:rRNA from 1 species